GACGAACGCUGGCGGCGUGCUUAACACAUGCAAGUCGAACGGUAAGGCCCUUCGGGGUACACGAGUGGCGAACGGGUGAGUAACACGUGGGUGAUCUGCCCUGCACUUCGGGAUAAGCCUGGGAAACUGGGUCUAAUACCGGAUAGGACCACUGCCUGCAUGGGUGGUGGUGGAAAGCUUUUGCGGUGUGGGAUGGGCCCGCGGCCUAUCAGCUUGUUGGUGGGGUGAUGGCCUACCAAGGCGACGAAGGGUAGCCGGCCGGAGAGGGUGACCGGCAACACUGGGACACAGUACCGGCCAAGACUCCUACGGGAGGCAGCGGUGGGGAAUAUUGCACAAUGGGCGCAAGCCUGAUGCAGCGACGCCGCGUGAGGGAUGGCGGCCUUCGGGUUGUAAACCUCUUUCAGCACCGACGAAGCGCAAGUGACGGUAGGUGCAGAAGAAGGACCGGCCAACUACGUGCCAGCAGCCGCCGUAA
rnacentral:rRNA from 1 species